AAGUCGUAACAAGGUCUCCGUAGGUGAACCUGCGGAGGGAUCAUUACAGAGUGAGGGCUAACCGCCCGACCUCCAACCCCUUGUGAACCACAACACCGUUGCUUCGGGGGCGACCCCUGCCGUUCGCGGCGAGGCGCCCCCGGGGUCCAUCAAACACUGCGUUAAUUGCGUCGGAGUCUCAAGUAAAUUGAACAAAA
rnacentral:misc_RNA from 1 species